rnacentral:misc_RNA from 1 species
CCAGAGAUGGCGGGCCCCCGCGCCCCCGUCCCCAACCCUUUGUUGACCAACCACUUUUGCCUCGGGGGCAGAGCGGCCUCCGCCGCCCCCGGUGGACCAUACAACCCUGUCUCUGUACGUCGGAGUCUUUGAUAAAUAAAUAA